CUUGUAAGCAGCAUGAAAUAGUAGACAGACACAGAAACUAAUUAAUUUCACCACAGUGUGGAUAAAGCUGCAACCAAGGUGGAUGCAAAGCAGCUGGGAGAGAUUUGAUUAGCCCGGGAGGGCAGGAGCAACCCAAGAAGGCUUCCAGGGAAGGCUGUGAUUAAACCGAAUAUUAAAGGAGUAAACGAUCCCAAUUGCAGUUUAUCUGUGGUUCAUCUGGCUUCUUCUCACACCACCUCUGUUGACAUGGGAGGCCUGCUGGCCACACAUCCAGGAAGUAUGAAAUCAGCGGGGUUCCUCCCCUUCUUGCUCCAGGGAAGCCUGAGAGGGACUCUGCAGAUUGCAUUUGGAAUCCAUCUGCCAGGUGAACUAGACCCUUGGAGCCUCCAUUUCCUCCUCUCUGAAAUAGGAACAGGCACGCUUCCCUUGCCUGACUCACGGAGUCUCUCUGGGAAUAAAGUCAGAGCAUCAUCUACAUCGUCAUGUGCUGCAUGAAAACAUGGAGGCCAUUGUUCUUACUCAAUUAGUGGAAAUGUAACUUAUUUCCCAGACUAUGGGGAACACAUAUUAAAAGAAAGAAGAUUCUUC